GGAUAUCGCAUCAUGAUAGUAGAUUGAUUAAGUACGAGAGGAACCGUUGAUUAUGGCCUCUGGUUAGCGAUUAUCGGAAACGAUAUUGUCGCGCAGCUACGCCGUCUGGGAUAAUGGCUGAAGGCCUCUUAAGCCAGAAACUCAUCUAGAAAGUGAUGGAUAAGACCAUCAAGCUCUGGGAAGAAUAGCAUUGCUUUGAACAGAGCAGGUCUGGGUAAC
rnacentral:rRNA from 1 species